UAACAAAUAAUUCAUAAAACUAUUGCCUGC
rnacentral:piRNA from 1 species